rnacentral:rRNA from 1 species
AACUCCCAACCCCUGUGACAUACCACUUGUUGCCUCGGCGGAUCAGCCCGCUCCCGGUAAAACGGGACGGCCCGCCAGAGGACCCCUAAACUCUGUUUCUAUAUGUAACUUCUGAGUAAAACCAUAAAUAAAUCAAAACUUUCAACAACGGAUCUCUUGGUUCUGGCAUCGAUGAAGAACGCAGCAAAAUGCGAUAAGUAAUGUGAAUUGCAGAAUUCAGUGAAUCAUCGAAUCUUUGAACGCACAUUGCGCCCGCCAGUAUUCUGGCGGGCAUGCCUGUUCGAGCGUCAUUUCAACCCUCAAGCACAGCUUGGUGUUGGGACUCGCGUUAAUUCGCGUUCCCCAAAUUGAUUGGCGGUCACGUCGAGCUUCCAUAGCGUAGUAGUAAAACCCUCGUUACUGGUAAUCGUCGCGGCCACGCCGUUAAACCCCAACUUCUGAAUGUUGACCUCGGAUCAGGUAGGAAUACCCGCUGAACUUAAGCAUAUCAAUAAGCGGAGGGAAAAAGAAA